AGGGCUGGGAGUGCCCCAGGAUGGAUCUGAGGAGGAGGAAUGGCCCACCCUGGAAAAGGCAGCCAAAAUGACCGGAGUGGACCACCAAGCAGAGGUGGUUGUGGACCCUGAAGAUGAAUGGGCCGUUGAAAUAUUUAUGAAUAAGAACCCUCCUAUGAGACAUCUGAGUACCAGUUGCUGACUUCAGACUGUUCUAAGUAGACUGCGAACCCUAGACUUGCUAUGGAUGUGAACCAGUCUGCUGAUGUGGACACCCCCUAUCUCUGCAACAGUGUCUGCUAACCAGAAGCCCCUGAUGGAUUCCCCAUUGUCUAAAUUCCUUUUUGCUUUUGACUAGCAUUUCAACCUUCUGGGGUCCCUAACUUCGUCCCAAAGUCAGCAGGAAGCAGUUUGGAAAGAAAUUUCGCCG
rnacentral:lncRNA from 1 species